rnacentral:rRNA from 1 species
UAGGGAAUCUUCCACAAUGGGCGGCAAGCCUGAUGGAGCAACACCGCGUGAGUGAAGAAGGGUUUCGGCUCGUAAAACACUGUUGUAAGAGAAGAAUGACAUUGAGAGUAACUGUUCAAUGUGUGACGGUAUCUUACCAGAAAGGAACGGCUAAAUACGUGUCAG